AGAGAACCACCAUCCCUCAUUUAAGCCCGACGGAAGUGACGAAUCAACAACCGCCUCAAGCGCCACCCGCGGUUGUCUCACCCACCUCUCAGCGGGGAGCGGGAGACGCGGGAGCCCCAAUGACCGGAGCUCAACAGCCCCCGCAAACCAUGGUGGACCUGGAACGAAAGAUGGAAGAAAUCAUGUCACAGAAGAUAGACGAUGCGCUGUCCAAAAGGAAGGAUAGGCGGAGACAGAUGGUUUUGGAGGAGGACCCGUUCGCCCCAGAAAUCAUGGCGGUCCCUUUGCCUAAAGGCUUCAAACAGCCCAUGAUUGAAGCCUAUGAUGGAGUCACGGACCCGCUUGACCAUCUACGAAC
rnacentral:lncRNA from 1 species